rnacentral:rRNA from 1 species
CCUACGGGGGGCAGCAGUGAGGAAUAUUGGUCAAUGGGCGGGAGCCUGAACCAGCCAAGUCGCGUGAGGGAAGACGGUCCUAUGGAUUGUAAACCUCUUUAGGCGGGGAGCAAGGCCGGGCACGCGUGCCCGGAGGGAGAGUACCCGCAGAAGAAGCAGCGGCUAACUCCGGGCCAGCAGCCGCGGUAAUACGGAGGAUGCGAGCGUUAUCCGGAUUUAUUGGGUUGAAAGGGUGCGUAGGCGGAUUUUUAAGUCAGCGGUAAAAGGUCCGGGCUCAACCCGGGCCGGCCGUUGAAACUGGGGCUCUUGAGUGGGCGUGAGCUAUGCGGCAUGCGUGGUGUAGCGGUGAAAUGCAUAGAUAUCACGCAGAACUCCGAUUGCGAAGGCAGCAUACCGGCGCCCGCCUGACGCUGAGGCACGAAAGCGUGGGGAUCGAACAGGAUUAGAUACCCUAGUAGUC